rnacentral:rRNA from 1 species
GAACAACGCUGGCGGCAGGCCUAACACAUGCAAGUCGAGCGCACUCUUCGGAGUGAGCGGCGGACGGGUUAGUAACGCGUGGGAAUAUGCCCUUCUCUAAGGAAUAGCCACUGGAAACGGUGAGUAAUACCUUAUACGCCCUUCGGGGGAAAGUUUAUCGGAGAAGGAUUAGCCCGCGUAAGAUUAGAUAGUUGGUGGGGUAAUGGCCUACCAAGUCUACGAUCUUUAGCUGGUUUUAGAGGAUGAUCAGCAACACUGGGACUGAGACACGGCCCAGACUCCUACGGGAGGCAGCAGUGGGGAAUCUUGGACAAUGGGCGCAAGCCUGAUCCAGCCAUGCCGCGUGAGUGAUGAAGGCCCUAAGGGUCGUAAAGCUCUUUCGCCAGAGAUGAUAAUGACAGUAUCUGGUAAAGAAACCCCGGCUAACUCCGUGCCAGCAGCCGCGGUAAUACGGAGGGGGUUAGCGUUGUUCGGAAUUACUGGGCGUAAAGCGCACGUAGGCGGAUCAGAAAGUAAGGGGUGAAAUCCCAGGGCUCAACCCUGGA